rnacentral:tRNA from 1 species
UGGUAAGUAGUUUAAACAAAACAAAUGAUUUCGACUCAUUAGAUUAUGAUAAUCAUGCUAACCAA